CGCAUAAGCGGUCGUGCCCGCGCGGUGGCGAUCAAGUGACGGCGGAGAGGGAAUGUACGCCGCCGUCCCCCUCCUCCCCAUUCCCACCGCAGCCCAUGGACAGGAGAGGGUUCCCGGAACGGAAGCGACGCACCAGCGGCAGGUUUGUGGGGGCAUGCCUUACUGAGGAAGAUGCAAAUAAGCUAAGGGAAGGGAAUGAAGAUUGGUUUAUUUCUCCUAAUCAAAUAUAUGCUCUCAUUGUCAAUCCACAUCGGGCUAUGCAGUUUCUAGCUGGAAGGAAUGAAUGACACCAUCCAUGCAGGUUUGCAGGACCAAGCCCCCAUAAUAUAUUGUUGCAAAAUAAGACUAUUGAUCAUGUUCUGGUGCGAUGAUUAUAGUUCUAUGAAGUUUCAACCAAAAAUCUCUCAAGAUGGCAGAAUACACAAAUAGCAUUCAAGCCUUUUUCAUCAACGGAAUGCAGGUUUUUCAAGAUUCGUUCUGACCCUCUUAUAUAAUUGUCUACAAUGAUCUUGAGGAUAGUUACUCCAUUUCAUAUAGAUGGGCAAUGGCCAAAUAUUUGUUAUUCUACAACUUCUAGGCAACUCUAGCCUAUUGUUUCUAGUCUUACCCUUCCUUCAUUGCAUCAUAAACUUACUUCUCUCUGUGCAUGCACACUAUAGAGAAGAUUAUUUGAGAGUAAGAUGGUCAUUUUAUCUACCUCCUUAAUUGAGAGCAAGAGAGAGUAUUAUCCAUAUGUGCUAAAAGUCAUUAAAUUGUAAAAGGGCGUCAUGAUUUGUAGAAUUCCUCCUGUAGAUAGACAUGUAUGAAUAAGCAGCAUAAACUUGGUUAGGCUUUGGCUCAUAAUGUAUCUAUUGACACAUCUGUCUGUACUUCAAAAGCAUCUUUAUUGCAUUCGAUAGUUAAGAGUGUUGGUAAGGAUGGGCAGAGCCACUAACAGGGAUAUAGUGCUCGUUCAAUCAAUUACUUCUGCAUCCUAGUGUAUUGUAUUGCAUUUCUCUUGCAACUUACAUGAGAUUACCAAGGUCUGUAAUGCUCCAAUAUAUAGUUUUAAGCUUUAGCUGCAGAUUGGUCCAGAACUUGAAUCACAUCAAUCAACAUGAUCGUGCCAAGGAUGUCCUGAGAGUGCCUUCUCAUCUAAAUUUUCCAAAGCACAUAUCACUGAAUUGACAUUUUCUUUGUUACAGAGCCUAGCCAUUUCGCCCCCCUUGUCAUCAGAAUGAGUUACAUACCUGCAGAAGGCUACAUUUUUUGCCGACCAUGUUUCUGACCAGAAGUGAGUCCUGGCCCACCUUCCCUCUGAAAAAUUGUGCCGAGCCAUUGAGUUAGGAGUUUCUUUCAGGGGCAAAUUGUUGAUAACUGCAUUUGUUCUAGUUCAUGGAGCUGCCUUCUUCACCUUCUGAACAGAGGCCAGGCCCGUGGUUGGCUCACCGAUUACAGGAUGUCAAUUAGUAACUACAGUUGCGAGCAAGGAGCAAGGGGGGCGUCCGACUCCGAGCUCGGUUGGUUGGCUUGCCGGUUACAGCAAGUCAAUUUGGUAACUACAGAUGGGUGGAAGGCGACGGACGGUAUGGCUGUCACGAGACCCUGUCCAACUCAUGUUUCUUCGCUGCUUCCUUCGUCAGUCGUCACGUCGUCGAGCAAAGUUACCCCGAGCUAGCUAAGGAGGACGAAACCAGCAAGUGGCGGGGCUCCCGUGCCGACGUCGCGCCAAAGCUUCACCGGUGGUCGGCAGCCGAAGGUGAGUCCCGCCAUGCACUGAGCACUGACGGAGUCGCCGCCGGUUCUCUCCUCGUCCCUCUCUACGGCAGAUGACGACGAGUGCACCGUAUGGUAAGCGAUCAAGAGGGGGCCGGGCGGGGUUGCUUGAGCGCCUUGCGCGCAAAGGCAUGGCGGCAUCUGGGCCCGGAGCCCGGGUGUGCCGUGCGUGCGCGGCGCGCACCUGCACGAGCGUGCAAUCGCGGCGCGCGGCCGCAGCCGGGCGGGGCCUGGGGGAGCUCGUGCCGUGUGUCCCGGGCGACGAGGUGGUGGUCUUGCGGCCGGAUGACGGAAUGGUUGAUGGAAUCCUUGCGUAAGGAUGCAACCGGCCGAGGCGCGCGCGGCAGGCAGGGCCCCCCGUGGGAAACGGGAGCGGCAAAGCCUCGUGGCACACCAAACUGUAGCUUUUGAUCGUGCAUGGUGGGGCGCGUACCUGACUGAUGCUGCGCCCCUGCUGAAAGUUGCGUCACAGCUUUAGUUACCCUGCGAAACAGGGCAAGAAAGCUAAAGGGGUUUGUUUGGAAAACGUCAAUUUUACUGAACUUUCGUUCAUAGGGGAACAAACAGUUCGAUUCCCUUGGGAUGUGGUGGGGAUUCCGGCGUGUCGUAGGGGUCAAUUCAUAUGUAACAGUUGCACUAGAGAAUAGAGAUUCAUAUCUGAAGGCUUCAUUCAGAAUGUGAUUUUUUCCCCUGCAUACCAACCCGUAUGUGAAUUGGACUGGUUCUUAUGAAUUCGCUGGAAUUCAUUCAUUCAA